rnacentral:rRNA from 1 species
AUUGAACGCUGGCGGCAUGCCUUACACAUGCAAGUCGAACGGCAGCACGGAAGCAAUCCUGGUGGCGAGUGGCGAACGGGUGAGUAAUAUAUCGGAACGUGCCCAGUCGUGGGGGAUAACGCAGCGAAAGCUGUGCUAAUACCGCAUACGAUCUAUGGAUGAAAGCGGGGGAUCGCAAGACCUCGCGCGAUUGGAGCGGCCGAUAUCAGAUUAGCUAGUUGGUGGGGUAAAGGCCCACCAAGGCGACGAUCUGUAGCUGGUCUGAGAGGACGACCAGCCACACUGGAACUGAGACACGGUCCAGACUCCUACGGGAGGCAGCAGUGGGGAAUUUUGGACAAUGGGCGCAAGCCUGAUCCAGCAAUGCCGCGUGCAGGAUGAAGGCCUUCGGGUUGUAAACUGCUUUUGUACGGAACGAAACGGUCCUUUCUAAUACAGGGGGCUAAUGACGGUACCGUAAGAAUAAGCACCGGCUAACUACGUGCCAGCAGCCGCGGUAAAAC